AAUAAGCUUAUUUUUUGUUGUUUCGUAUCUAACGUUUGACUAUUCGUCUUAUUUAAAAAAUUUGUUAAAAAACUUAAAAAAAAAUUAGUCACGUAUAAAAUACUAUUCAUAUUUUAUCAUCUAGUAAUAAUAAAAAUAUUUGCAAAAAAUUUUUAAAUAAAACGAAUGGUCAAACGUUGGACACGGAAAA
rnacentral:pre_miRNA from 1 species